AAACUUCCGAAUGAUUUUACCAUUUAUUUUCCUGGGAGAGAGAUUCCAAAGUGGUUCAGCCAUCAAAGUAGGGGUCUUCGAUAUCAUUUCAGUUGCCGCCGCAUGGGUUUAACAACAGGUUCUUGGGAUGUGCUUUAGCCGCUGUUGGAUUCAAAAAGGGUAAAUCCGACCAUUUGUGUAUUGAAAUGCGCUGGAGGUGCCACGUUACUCAGAGGAUCAUCACACCAUUUUCUGUAGUGACGUUACCUACGAAUUUUGGAAAUAUUCUGGUUACGGUUAUCUCACGCGGCGCAUUUUCGCCAUUCACGGAAGAUUUUAUGGAGCAAUUAAACGAGGGUGGAAUUGAAUUUGAAGUUUCUUUUUGCUACCUCGAAUCCAAAGAAGUGGUCGAAAAGGUCGGUGUCCAUGUCAUGUACAAGGAAGCUGAAGAACAAGCAUUGAGUAGUAUAUACGACUCUCAAGAAGAUAACAACAACAUCAACAUGGGUGUGUUCCAUGGAGACUUGGACAGAUCAGCAGGAGUACAAGUUGGUAGCAGUAGUAGUAGUGCUACUACAUCAAAGAGAAGACGCGACGACGACCUCAAUGACGAUCACUACCAUGCAGCAGCAGCAGAAGCUAGUGGAAGUCCUGAAAUUCAUGAUCAAGAGGACCACCUCAACAGCAAAAGGCUUAGGUAUGGAUGACACUGGUACCACUAGUUCUCGUGAGAAGGAGAAACCUCAAAGGUUUUGGAAUCACCGUAAGGAACUCUUCCUCAUUACAACCGUGAAAGAUAUAACCGCAAGCAAUCCCAGGUGGAAGCUUGAUACUAAUCAGUUUAGGGCAGGCUUCUACAAUGAAUGUGAGAAGAAGAUCUUAAGUGCAUUUCCUAGAAUUGAUCUUCGAGCCAGUCCUCACAUCAACUCGAAGAUUAAGUUGUGGAAGAAAUAAUAUAACACUCUUCAAGAUAUGUUAAAGAUAAGUGGUUUUGGUUGGGAUGAUGAACAAAAGAUGGUGCUUGUUGUUAAUGAUGACGUAUGGCAAAACUAUGUCAGGAGGGUGUCGGAUGCAAAAGGGAUGUGAAACAGGCCAUUCCCGUUCUAUGAAAAUUGGCUUAUUCUAUUUGGGAAGGAUAGGGCGACUGGUGAACUCGCUGAGGAUCCUGCUGAUGCAGUUGCAACCAUGGAAAAUGAGGAUGCAAAUGCAACUACAGAAGAAGGAGAACAGUCUCUUGUUGAACAGUUUAGUAUGAACAUGGGUGAUAUGGACUACUCAAUGUCUACUGCAGGUAAUGUUCCCAAUUGUGAUGACUCUACUAAAUUGGGGAAAAAAAUGGGCUUGACCUGUUAAGGGGAUUCCCACUGAACUAUCAGAGAUGGCAAAAAAUCUUGGAUCAUUCAUUGAGAAUACUAAUACUACGAUGGUGGAGAUUGUUCAUAGGAUAGGAUAUUCACAUGACCUAUCCCAACAAAUGAGGUUGGUUAAUGCAGAACUUCUGAAGUUGUCAACGAGUAAUACCCAAAGAUUGUUGGCAGCAUCAAUGAUAGUAAAAGAUGAAGACAAAGUUGACUUGUUCUUCAGUUUAGAUGAGAAUGAUAAGAUGGAGUGGGUUUCUUUGCUAUUGGGAGGUCAUAUUUAAAUGUGACAUCUACUGUAUGAUGGCCUUUUUGUUUGUCACAUGAUUUAUAAUAUAUUUUGUGAUGCAUAAGUAUUAUAACGUAGGUAUUGUUUGCUGCUGCAAUCUGUUUAUCUGCUGCAAUAUAUUGUAUGAUGGUCUUUUGGUUGAGUUAAUGCUGCUCUUUGCUACUUCUGCAAUCUGUUUAUAUGUUGCUCCUGUGUUAGGCUAGUUAAGCCUAGUUUUUGUAGCUUGCAAUCUCUUUAUAUGUUGCU